rnacentral:rRNA from 1 species
UGGGGAAUAUUGCACAAUGGGCGCAAGCCCGAUGCAGCCAUGCCGCGUGUAUGAAGAAGGCCUUCGGGUUGUAAAGUACUUUCAGCGGGGAGGAAGGGAGUAAAGUUAAUACCUUUGCUCAUUGACGUUACCCGCAGAAGAAGCACCGGCUAACUCCGUGCCAGCAGCCGCGGUAAUACGGAGGGUGCAAGCGUUAAUCGGAAUUACUGGGCGUAAAGCGCACGCAGGCGGUUGAUUGAGUCAGAUGUGAAAUCCCCGGGCUUAACCCGGGAAUUGCAUCUGGUACUUGUCAGCUAGAGUCUUGUAGAGGGGGGUAGAAUUCCAUGUGUAACGGUGAAAAGCGUAGUGAUGUGGAGGAAUACCGGUGGCGGAAGCGGCCCCCUGGACAGAGACUGACGCUCAGGUGCGAAAGAGUGGGGAGCAAACAGG